rnacentral:rRNA from 1 species
CAUGCAGGCGGUUUAUCAAGUAGGAUGUGAAAGCCCCGGGCUCAACCUGGGAAUUGCAUUCUAAACUGAUAGACUAGAGUAUUGCAGGGGGAGGACGGAAUUCCAGGUGUAGCGGUGGAAUGCGUAGAUAUCUGGAAGAACACCAAAGGCGAAGGCAGUCUCCUGGGCAAAUACUGACGCUCAUAUGCGAAAGCGUGGGUAGCAAACA